rnacentral:lncRNA from 1 species
CGCGCCUCCGCUCCGCCCCUUGAAUCCUGGUCACGCCCCCGAGCCGCUCUCCAGACCUAGCCCGGACCGCCGACUUCUGGCCACGCCCCUAUCUACUCCCAGACCUUGCCUUGCGCCCUUCCUGUGUUUUGGCCCCGCCCCUGUCCUGUCCCGCCCCGCCCUCCGAAGUGGGCACGCUCCUGCUCCGCCCCCUGAAUCCUGGCCACGUCCCUGGUCGGCCCAGACGCGUAGCCCCGAGUCUCUUUCCAUGUUUUGACCACGCCCUUGACCCGCCCUUCAAAUUGGGCACGCCUUCUUCCCCGCUCACUGAUUUCCUGGCCUAGCCCCUGAGCAGACCUCCAGACCUAGCCCCGCCCCCGUUUUAUAACCCCGCCCCUGCUUCACGGCUUGGGCACGCCUCUUCCCCGCCCCCUGACUUCAGAGCCUAGUCCUGAGCCGCUCUCCAGGCCUAACCCCGCCUUCAUGUCAUAGCCACGCCCCUUCCCGCCCUUCCAUGUUUGGGCACGCCUUCUGAGUCCUGGUCACGCCUCUGUCCCGCCCCCUGAAUCUUUCCUACGUCCAUGACCCUCCCUCCAGGCCCUGGCCCUGCCCCUUUUUUCCUCCCUCCGGCCUGUCCGGUUUCUGAUAUGGGCCAAGGCUCACAGCUUCCUCCGCCUUCUGGACCUUCUCCUAGUCCCUGCCCAGUCCCGGCCCACCCCCAGAUUCUCCCUCAUUCUGGUUUCGCCCCCUUUCUGGUCCUCCCCGCGCGCUUGAGCCCACCCUUUGGCUUCUCCUUUUGGGUCUGUCCUUGCUCCUGCCUCUGGACCCGGUCCCGCCCUUCUCGCGUGUAAUUGAGUCCUGGCCCCGCCCCCUCCCUCUCUGGCUUCACCCCUUUCCAGCUCCGCCUCCCGGGUAGGUUCUCCCCGGAACCAGGCUGCCGCGUCGCUAUGGGCUAACGCAGGCUCGGGUGACGUUGGUAUGAGUUUGCGCCGUCGGCUGCUGCUCUGUCUGGUAACAUUGCAUUCGAUCCACCCCGACCCAAUGUUCUGGGCUUCUCAUUCACACAGAUCUGUGUGUUGACAGCCAGGGUUUGGGGAAAAACCGAGACUCAAGCUUCUGCCGAGCCCGACUUGGCCUUUUUGGGUUCCUGUCUGAGGAUGACAGCAUAGUAAGCACAGGUUUUAGUACCAGAAAGAGCAUGAAAAAUUUAAAAAAAAAAACUCUUAAAAUAAUUGGAUGUCUCGAUGAAGUACCAAUAAAGCUAUAAUGGGAAAAAUAGAGUUUAGUUGGUUAUAUUUUAUGAUUUAGUACUGUUUCUAUUUAUUAAUUAGAGGUAGUGGUAAUCACCAUAAUCUUUAAAGUUUAAGGUCACGAAACUUCUUUAUCUAGCCCUGCUCUCCACAGAAACUUCGCCUCCUAUCAUCUUGGUAUCAGUUAUCAGUUGUAAGUACCAAGACAUCAGUGUGUAAAUACAACCAUGUAUAGAUCAUAAUAUGCACACGUGGGACUGGCAGAGAAGAAAAGCACCACAAGCCUGAGGUGGAUGGGAUCGAAAGGGCUCAUCAGAACCAACAUGGCCACCGCAGUGUGUGUCCCACUCUGCUGAACAAGGUGAGCAGUUUGGGAAGGAGCUAAAAAAAAAUGUAUGCUCCUCUCUGCUAGGCUGAAUUUUAUGUGUGUAUAUAAUUUUUGAAAGAAUAAUAAUCCUAUGUCUGUUUAAUGCUUGACAGUGUAAAAGAGCUUUCAUCUAUGUGAUCUUAUUUAAUUCUUACAGCUACUCUUAAAUAGGGUUUAUUACUCUCCUUUUAUAGAUGACGAAAACUGGGGCUUUGUCUCAUUCCAAAGAGCAGAGGAGGGUG